ensembl:rRNA 5S_rRNA 5S ribosomal RNA
GUCUACAGCCAUACCACCCUGAAAAUGCCCGAUCUUGACUGAUCUUGGAAGCUCUGCAGGGUUAGGCCUGGUUAGUGCUUGGAUGGGAGAAUGGGAGAGAGAUAGACACCUGUAGCCC